rnacentral:rRNA from 1 species
CUCAGGAUGAACGCUAGCUACAGGCUUAACACAUGCAAGUCGAGGGGCAGCAUGGUCUUAGCUUGCUAAGGCCGAUGGCGACCGGCGCACGGGUGAGUAACGCGUAUCCAACCUGCCUUACACUCUUGGACAGCCUUCUGAAAGGGAGAUUAAUACAAGAUGUUAUCAUGAGUAAGCAUUUUCGCAUGAUUAAAGGUUUACCGGUGUAAGAUGGGGAUGCGUUCCAUUAGAUAGUAGGCGGGGUAACGGCCCACCUAGUCUUCGAUGGAUAGGGGUUCUGAGAGGAAGGUCCCCCACAUUGGAACUGAGACACGGUCCAAACUCCUACGGGAGGCAGCAGUGAGGAAUAUUGGUCAAUGGACGAGAGUCUGAACCAGCCAAGUAGCGUGAAGGAUGAAGGUUCUAUGGAUUGUAAACUUCUUUUAUACGGGAAUAAACGGAUCCACGUGUGGAUUUUUGCAUGUACCGUAUGAAUAAGGAUCGGCUAACUCCGUGCCAGCAGCCGCGGUAAUACGGAGGAUCCGAGCGUUAUCCGGAUUUAUUGGGUUUAAAGGGAGCGUAGAUGGGUUGUUAAGUCAGUUGUGAAAGUUUGCGGCUCAACCGUAAAAUUGCAAUUGAUACUGGCAGUCUUGAGUACAGUUGAGGUAGGCGGAAUUCGUGGUGUAGCGGUGAAAUGCUUAGAUAUCACGAAGAACUCCGAUUGCGAAGGCAGCUUACUAACCUGUAACUGACAUUGAUGCUCGAAAGUGUGGGUAUCAAACAGGAUUAGAUACCCUGGUAGUCCACACGGUAAACGAUGAAUACUCGCUGUAGGCGAUAUACAGUCUGCGGCCAAGCGAAAGCAUUAAGUAUUCCACCUGGGGAGUACGCCGGCAACGGUGAAACUCAAAGGAAUUGACGGGGGCCCGCACAAGCGGAGGAACAUGUGGUUUAAUUCGAUGAUACGCGAGGAACCUUACCCGGGCUUAAAUUGCAACCGAAUAUGGCGGAAACGCUAUAGCUAGCAAUAGCGGUUGUGAAGGUGCUGCAUGGUUGUCGUCAGCUCGUGCCGUGAGGUGUCGGCUUAAGUGCCAUAACGAGCGCAACCCUUGCCGAUAGUUACUAACAGGUUAUGCUGAGGACUCUGUCGGGACUGCCAUCGUAAGAUGUGAGGAAGGUGGGGAUGACGUCAAAUCAGCACGGCCCUUACGUCCGGGGCUACACACGUGUUACAAUGGGGGGUACAGAGGGCUGCUACCACGCAAGUGGAUGCCAAUCCCAAAAACCUCUCUCAGUUCGGAUUGAAGUCUGCAACCCGACUUCAUGAAGCUGGAUUCGCUAGUAAUCGCGCAUCAGCCACGGCGCGGUGAAUACGUUCCCGGGCCUUGUACACACCGCCCGUCAAGCCAUGGGAGCCGGGGGUACCUGAAGUGCGUAACCGCAAGGAGCGCCCUAGGGUAAAACUGG